UCCCAGGAAGCGUCUUGCUCCCUGACUAGGUGACUAGGUCCUGUUCUCAAAAAGCCCAUAUCAUUCUGCUCAGACACCGUAUUUUGUGAUGACUUGCUCUGGAGGAAGACGCCACCAUGGUGUGAGGAUACACCAGCAGCCUUACAGAGAGAUCCGUGCGGCCUCCUGCCAAUAGCCAGCACCAACUCAGCAUGCGUGUCUUAGAAUCAGAGCUGCCAGUCUCGGUUGAGCCCUCAGAUGACUGCAGCCCCAGCUAACAUCUCGACUGCAACCUCAUGAGAGAUCCUGAGCCAGAAGCCCCCCGCUAUGCUGUUUCCAAAUUCCUGACCAACUUGAAAGAGUGUGAGAUAAUACGUGUUUAUUGUGUUCAGCUGCUAAGUUUUGGGGUAAUUCAUUAUGCUGCAAAAGAAAAUUAAUACAGAUUUGAUGAUUACAUGAUUCUCAGCUGACAAGGUGAAACAUACUGUGAGUCUCAGAGAAAGGUCUGAAGACUGGAAUUGAAAGUACACAGCUGCUCAGGCAAACUUGUAUAGGCAUGUGUGUGCUGGGGCUGAAAAUCUCACACUACAACUCAGAUGGAAAAAACCAGCAUCUUAAUUUCUCUUGUACUGUUCUCACCUAGAUCUGAUAAGACCAUUGUUGACAGGCAAAAAAAGAAGAAGAA